AAAGGGUCCGUAGGCGGUUUAAUAAGUCAGUGGUGAAAUCUGGUCGCUCAACGAUCAAACGGCCAUUGAUACUGUUAGACUUGAAUUAUAAGGAAGUAACUAGAAUAUGUAGUGUAGCGGUGAAAUGCUUAGAUAUUACAUGGAAUACCAAUUGCGAAGGCAGGUUACUACUUAUGGAUUGACGCUGAUGGACGAAAGCGUGGGGAGCGAACAGGAUUAGAUACCCGUGU
rnacentral:rRNA from 1 species